rnacentral:rRNA from 1 species
UACGUAGGGUGCAAGCGUUAAUCGGAAUUACUGGGCGUAAAGCGUGCGCAGGCGGUUUUGUAAGUUUGUCGUGAAAUCCCCGGGCUCAACCUGGGAAUGGCAUGAAGACUGCAAGGCUAGAGUUUGGCAGAGGGGGGUAGAAUUCCACGUGUAGCAGUGAAAUGCGUAGAUAUGUGGAGGAACACCGAUGGCGAAGGCAGCCCCCUGGGUCAAAACUGACGCUCAUGCACGAAAGCGUGGGGAGCAAACAGG